UUGCUUCUUUGCCGGCGAGCGGCGGACGGGUGAGUAAUGUCUGGGAAUCUGCCCGAUGGAGGGGGAUAACCACUGGAAACGGUGGCUAAUACCGCAUAACGUCUUCGGACCAAAGUGGGGGACCUUCGGGCCUCACACCAUCGGAUGUGCCCAGAUGGGAUUAGCUAGUAGGUGGGGUAAUGGCUCACCUAGGCGACGAUCCCUAGCUGGUCUGAGAGGAUGACCAGCCACACUGGAACUGAGACACGGUCCAGACUCCUACGGGAGGCAGCAGUGGGGAAUAUUGCACAAUGGGCGCAAGCCUGAUGCAGCCAUGCCGCGUGUGUGAAGAAGGCCUUCGGGUUGUAAAGCACUUUCAGCGAGGAGGAAGGGUAGUGUCUUAAUACGGCAUUACAUUGACGUUACUCGCAGAAGAAGCACCGGCUAACUCCGUGCCAGCAGCCGCGGUAAUACGGAGGGUGCAAGCGUUAAUCGGAAUUACUGGGCGUAAAGCGCACGCAGGCGGUUUGUUAAGUCAGAUGUGAAAUCCCCGAGCUUAACUUGGGAACUGCAUUUGAAACUGGCAGACUAGAGUCUCGUAGAGGGGGGUAGAAUUCCAGGUGUAGCGGUGAAAUGCGUAGAGAUCUGGAGGAAUACCGGUGGCGAAGGCGGCCCCCUGGACGAAGACUGACGCUCAGGUGCGAAAGCGUGGGGAGCAAACAGGAUUAGAUACCGUGGGUAAUUCAAAG
rnacentral:rRNA from 1 species